AUUGAACGCUGGCGGCAGGCCUAACACAUGCAAGUCGAGCGAGCGGCGGACGGGUGAGUAAUGUAUGGGGACUGCCCGAUAGAGGGGGAUAACUACUGGAAACGGUAGCUAAUACCGCAUACUAUCGGAUAACCCAUAUGGGAUUAGCUAGUAGGUGGGGUAAUGGCUCACCCAGGUGACGAUCCCUAGCUGGUCUGAGAGGAUGAUCAGCAGCAUGGGGAGUAGGACACGGCCAAGACCACUCCGGAGGCAGUAGAGGGGAAUAUUGAAAGAGGGGGGAAAGCCUGAUGCAGCCAUGCGGCGUGUAUGAAGAAGGCCCUAGGGUUGAAAAGUACUUUCAGUCGGGAGGCGUUACCGACAGAGGAAGCACCGGCUAACUCCGUGCCAGCAGGCGCGGUAAUUC
rnacentral:rRNA from 1 species